AAUUUUUUUUUUAAAAAAAAAUAAGCUAAUUAAGCUAAUGAACUCAUACUUCAUUUAUAAAGGUUUAAUCCUUUUUUUU
rnacentral:tRNA from 1 species